rnacentral:rRNA from 1 species
CUCGGAGUUUGAUCCUGGCUCAGGAUGAACGCUGGCGGCGUGCUUUACACAUGCAAGUCGAACGGUAGAGGGGGCAACCCCUCGAGAGUGGCGAACGGGUGAGUAAUAUAUCGGAACGUGCCCAGUCGUGGGGGAUAACGUAGUGAAAAUUACGCUAAUACCGCAUACGAUCUACGGAUGAAAGCGGGGGAUCGCAAGACCUCGCGCGAUUGGAGCGGCCGAUAUCAGAUUAGGUAGUUGGUGAGGUAAAGGCUCACCAAGCCAACGAUCUGUAGCUGGUCUGAGAGGACGACCAGCCACACUGGAACUGAGACACGGUCCAGACCUCCGUACGGGAGGCAGCGAGUGGGGUAA